rnacentral:rRNA from 1 species
GACGAACGCUGGCGGCGUGCUUAACACAUGCAAGUCGAACGGAAAGGCCCCUUUGGGGGUACUCGAGUGGCGAACGGGUGAGUAACACGUGAGUAACCUUCCCUUGACUUCGGGCUAACUUCAGGAAACUGGGGCUACUACCGGAUAGGAAUCCUUUCUGCAUGGGGGGGGUUGGAAAGCUUCGGCGGUUUUGGAUGGACUCGCGGCUUAUCAGCUUGUCGGUGGGGUAGUGGCUUACCAACGCUUUUACGGGUAGCCCGCCAGAGAGGGCGACCGGCCAAAUUGGGAACGAGAUGCGGCCCAGACACCUACGGGAGGCAGCAGUGGGGAAUAUUGCACAAGGGGCGGAAGACUGAUGAAGAAACGCCGCGUGGGGGAUGACGGUCUUCGGGUUGUAAACCGCUUUCGGCAGGGGAGAAGCUUGUGGUGACGGUACCUGCAGAAGAAGCACCGGCUAACUACGUG